AUGUUCUCUCACUUCCUCUAUGUGUCUGUCUUGGCCCUCGGUAGAAAGGGCUUCUGUCUACAUUGUAGCCACUGCCUAUUCCAGCAGCUGGAGGCUUCUGCUGCUGCCCUCACCAGUCAAACUGAUGCCUCACAAACUGAUGCCUGUUUCUUUACAUUGCUGACUUCCAAGUCAAGAUCUCGCAAGGCCGUCUAAGAGUGCCUGCUUCCCUUAGAAAGUAUCCUGAGACCUCUCCAGCCACGUUACCUGAACAGCUGCAGAAACGUGAGCCAAUUAAACCUCUUUUCUUGUAAAUUACCCAGUCUCAGGUAGAGCUUCUUAGCAGUGCAAAAAUGGAUGAAUACAAAUAUGAAGCCUUUUGAAUCAGGCUCACUCAGCAAUAUGCAUUUAAAAUUCAUCCACGUUGUUGAGUGGAUCAGUAGUUCUUCCUUUUUAUUGCUAAGUAAUAUUUCACUGUAUAGAUACACCACAGGAUUCCCCAACUGAAGGAUAUGGAGAAGAGUAAUUGCAGCCACUUUGGUAAAUAAUCUAUCAUGUAUACUAAUUAACUGACUUAAACAGUUUUAUGUUCUUUCCUUGUACAAAAAUUCACACAAAUGUAGAGAAGAAAACAAAAUGAAUCCUAAGAGAGUCUUCACUUAGCUUCAACAAUUAUCAAGAUUCUUUCCAUCUAUCCCUUUUUACUUUAGUCUUUCUUGUUGAAAUAUAUUAAAGCAAAUCUUAGAUAUGAGAGUGAAAUAUGUAGAGAUUAUUGCAUUUGACUCUCCAAAAGUUAUGAAUGUUUUUCAUAUAACUUUAAUGUAUCAGUAUUUUUUUUCUAUAAAAGGCCAAAUAAUAACUGCUUUUGGCUUUGUGAGCUCUGAGUUCUUUGUCAAAAUUACUGAACUUCUGCUGUUAUAAAAAGAAAGCAGCCUUAGACUACUCAUAAACAAACAAGCAUGACUGUAGUCUAUCAAAACUUUAUUUGCUGAAACAGGCAGCAGGCCCUAGUUUGACAAAUGCAAUCUAAUCUCCAGUCCAUGAUGAAAUUUUC
rnacentral:lncRNA from 1 species